rnacentral:rRNA from 1 species
CGCCGUUUUAUCAAAAACAUGUCUUUAAGAUAUUUUAAUUUAAAGUCUAAUCUGCCCAAUGAAAUUUGUUUAUUUGGCAAUUUUUAACUGUACUAAGGUAGCAUAAUAAUUUGUUUUUUAAUUAAAAACUAGAAUGAAUGAUUUAAUGAAAAAAAAACUUUUUUAAUAAAAUUAUUUUAAUUUUUUAUUUAAGUAAAAAAACUUAAAUUUAUUUAAAAGACGAUAAGACCCUAUAGAAUUUUAUUAAUUAAUAAUAAAUUUAAUAAAUUAUUUUUUAUAAAAAUUAAGUAAUUAAUUUUAUUGGGGU